rnacentral:rRNA from 1 species
GACGAACGCUGGCGGCGUGCUUAACACAUGCAAGUCGAACGGAAAGGCCCUGCUUUUGUGGGGUGCUCGAGUGGCGAACGGGUGAGUAACACGUGAGUAACCUGCCCUUGACUUUGGGAUAACUUCAGGAAACUGGGGCUAAUACCGGAUAGGAGCUCCUGCUGCAUGGUGGGGGUUGGAAAGUUUCGGCGGUUGGGGAUGGACUCGCGGCUUAUCAGCUUGUUGGUGGGGUAGUGGCUUACCAAGGCUUUGACGGGUAGCCGGCCUGAGAGGGUGACCGGCCACAUUGGGACUGAGAUACGGCCCAGUCUGCUACGGGAGGCAGCAGUGGGGAAUAUUGCACAGUGGGCGGAAGCCUGAUGCAGCAACGCCGCGUGCGGGAUGACGGCCUUCGGGUUGAAAACCGCUUUCGCCUGUGACGAAGCGUGAGUGACGGUAAUGGGUAAAGAAGCACCGGCUAACCACGUG